UACGGAGGGGGCUAGCGUUAUUCGGAGUUACUGGGCGUAAAGAGUGCGUAGGCGGUUUUCUAAGUUUGGUGUGAAAUCUCCCGGCUUAACUGGGAGGGUGCGCCGAAAACUGGAAGGCUUGAGUAUGGGAGAGGUAAGCGGAAUUCCUGGUGUAGCGGUGAAAUGCGUAGAUAUCAGGAGGAACACCUGCGGUGUAGACGGCUUACUGGACCAUAACUGACGCUGAGGCACGAAAGCGUGGGUAGCAAACAGG
rnacentral:rRNA from 1 species